CUCCACCCGGCACAGCCAGAAGAGGACUGGCCACCCCUCAGAGCCUGGUUCCUCUCUAGGUUUCUUCCUAGGUUCCGGCCUUUCUAGGGAGUUUUUCCUAGCCACUGUGCUUCUACACCUGCAUUGCUUGCUGUUUGGGGUUUUAGGCUGGGUUUCUGUACAGCACUUUGAGAUAUCAGCUGAUGUAAGAAGGGCUUUAUAAAUACAUUUGAUUUAGAGAAUUGCUUGUUGCGCCUGCUGCAAUGUAUCGUUCCAUUUCUCCAAAUGUCAAAUUUCUAAGAUAAAGAUUCAAAUUUAGGCACAUAUUCCAAAUGGUUAAGGUUUAGGUUAGGGUUUUAAAAAAGUGUCCACUACAGGGUUUAAACCUUCAGCUCAUGAGUCAUAGGAUUGAUCAUUGAAAUGCAUUCCAACUGUGUGAAUUACUUUUAUUUAGUGUUUGUCUUUUUACUGGGAUAGAACAUGCAACCUUCUGAUCCAAAGUCAGGAGAUUACCCCCGUCCAGAAACCCACGCAAAAUCCAAGUUUGAUGCUAAUAGCGCUCACUGUUGCCACCUAGUGGCUGGUUUCGAAGGCAUUUCCCAACGUCCAAUUUCGACAUCAAUCUUGAAAGACCUGACUGAGUCGACCUCGCCAAAAACUUUUAACUACUAUAACAUCUGGAAUAGAGUGUUCUUUCACUUUUUGCUUUGCCUUCUCUCAUCCCACAAUAGUCUGUCGUGUGUGUGUGUGUGUGUGUGUGUGUGUGGAUUUAUAGGGUUUAUUCACGGACAACAUUAGGAAAAAGCAAAUUAACAAAAUCUUUUUUUUUUGCAGAAUGUGACCGUUGCAUGAAUAGACCCCAUAAUUACCGCAAUACUACAUAAAUACGUGUACAGUACGUUCUCUCGGAGCGUUACCACUAUUGCUUUUGGAUCUAAAGGAUUAUUUAGGACUACUGUGCCUGUUCAGAGUUUCCAUGUUCACAGUAAAAAUUACAUUCGGCAGUGCUGAUUUGGAUAAGAUAUUUAGGAGUGUCAUGUGAAUGUACUGUAGCAGAGGAAUGGCUGCCUUGGACUGUAAGAGAAACUUGCCUGUCUUUAACAGCCCUACUUCCUGCCGUUUCUGAGAGUGCUGCAUCACUCCCUGAUAAAUCACAAUUUUAAAUAUAUAUUUUGUAAAUAAAUCCACCAGACUAGUGCACUUAGGCCUUUUAUUACUCCUGUAUGAGCUGACGCGAGCGUUUUACAAAAAAUGUACACGUAUGGGUUAUUCAAUCAUUGCACCAACACUGCUCGCAAGCGUCAACGAGCAUCUGCGUCACCAGGCGCUAAAAUAGAACUUGAUUCUAUUUGUGACGCUUGACGAGCUGCAAUUGCCAUCUCUCCCAUUUCCUCAUUGGUUUUUAGGAGCGUAUACCCACGUGGGUGAUUGAAAGAUGAACUGAGGUUCACACUCCAGUCCAGUUGGUGGUGGUAAUGCACCUUAAAGUUGGUUGCCAACCGCCAUAUAAAGUCCACAGAAGAAGAAGCCUGACGGAGGAGAAAUUACUAGGAUUUACACUUUUAUCUGUGGAUAAAUUCUCUGAGUAGAGGACCUUGUGCAUUUCAGAACUGCAAGAAAACCAGUAUCUGAUGGAAGAGGUCAACUGUUCACCCC
ensembl:lncRNA